UAUAUAAAGAAAGAAAAGACUAAAUGAAUUUAAAACAAAUAAAUAAAGCAGCAUCCAAGAUAAUCAAUGCAUACUGCAAGUUUAGAGUGAAGAGGACCAAAAAGAAGGGCCUGUUAAGAGUGACAAACACUGCAAAAUCUGGGGAAUAACAAGAAUGGCUGACUCUUACACAGUGUUUGCUACGUGCCAGCAUGGUUCUAGGAGAGGCAUGGUUCUGAUCCCCAAACAUGUGAGAGAGCCCAACCAAGAUCAGCAGAGCCACCUCCCUGACCCUCAGCCAACCUCAGAUGGAUGGAUAAGCCCAGAUCAGAAAACCAACACUUGGAGAGAUUAAAAGCUUGCCCCAGGCUGCCAGUAUAUUAUUAUAUUAAUGAUCUCCAGUGAAUUCCACCUCCCAGUAUCUAUAUCCUUCUAUAAUUCACCCUCCCUCCCAUAUUAACUCAGAACUUGACCAUGUGACUUGCU